GACGAACGCUGGCGGCGUGCUUAACACAUGCAAGUCGAACGGAAAGGCCCUGCUUGCAGGGUACUCGAGUGGCGAACGGGUGAGUAACACGUGGGUGAUCUGCCCUGCACUUCGGGAUAAGCCUGGGAAACUGGGUCUAAUACCGGAUAGGAGCCAUUUUUAGUGUGAUGGUUGGACAGUUUUUUCGUUGUAGGAUGAGCUCGCGGCCUAUCAGCUUGUUGGUGGGGUAAUGGCCUACCAAGGCGGCGACGGGUAGCCGGCCUGAGAGCGUGGACGGCCACAUUGGGACUGAGAUACGGCCCAGAGUCCUACGGGAGGCAGCAGUGGGGAAUAUUGCACAAUGGGAGCAAGCCUGAUGCAGCGACGCCGCGUGGGGGAUGACGGCCUUCGGGUUGUAAACUCCUUUCGCUAGGGACGAAGCUUUUUGUGACGGUACCUAGAUAAGAAGCACCGGCUAACUACGUG
rnacentral:rRNA from 1 species